CGGGGUGUAGCUCAGCCUGGCAGAGCGCCUGGUUUGGGGCCAGGAGGUCCCGCGUUCAAAUCGCGGCACCCCGACCA
rnacentral:tRNA from 3 species